UUACUGUAAGAAUAAGCACCGGCUAAUUCCGUGCCAGCAGCCGCGGUAAUACGGAAGGUGCAAGCGUUAUCCGGUUUUAUUGGGUUUAAAGGGUGCGUAGGCGGCUUAUUAAGUCAGUUGUGAAAUCCUAGUGCUUAACGCUAGAACUGCAAUUGAUACUAUUAGGCUUGAGUUAAGAAUAGGUAAGUAGAAUUUAUGGUGUAGUAGUGAAAUGCUUAGAUAUCAUAAGGAAUACCAAUAGCGUAGGCAGCUUACUGGUCUUUAACUGACGCUGAGGCACGAAAGCGUGGGGAGCAAACAGGAUUAGAUACCCUGGUAGUCCACGCCGUAAACGAUGAUCACUCGGUAUACAUAAAUUUAUGUGUGUCUAAGCGAAAGCGUUAAGUGAUCCAC
rnacentral:rRNA from 2 species